rnacentral:lncRNA from 1 species
UUCUGAUUUGCAUUUCUCUAAUGAUCAGUGAUGUUGAGAUUUCUUUUUCAUGUGAUUGUUGGUUGCAUGUAUACCUUCUUUGGUUCUUUUGGUUUUAUAUGAAUUUUGAAAUAAAUUUUGGACAAUUUGUUUAUACUGUGUGUGUGUCCAGUUGUGAUUGGAAUAUAUUGUAGAAACUCAAGUAAAUAUCUUCUAAUGACUCAAUGAAUUGAUUUAUUUGGGAUGCUUUAUAAAAAGUAUAACUUUUUCCUAAUGCAGAAUGUCCUAGUAGAAAUAAAAAAAUACAGUAUAUCAAUAAUUCCUAGCAUUCCCAAGGAAGGAAACAAGUAAUCGUAUUAAGUAAAAUGAUAAAAUAAUACAAGUCUUAAUGUUGAUGCCCAACAUCAAGCCAUUUUUAAGAAUCACAAGCAGUGCAGCAGUAUUAUUGCUGAUGCUUUAAAGCUGAGCCAUAUUUUCUUAGAUAUUUAUAGGAUGGCUUUGUAGGUAAAAUACAGGAGUAAAUACCUGUGCUAGGUUGUUUUAUCGUGCAGUUAUUCAUUCUUCCUUUCCUGUAAGAAAAUUAUACAUUGUUGCUCAUUGACAUCAGGCUUAAGGGGCCCCUUAUGGACAGAAUAUAUAUUCUCUGCUCCAUUGAUGUUUGACCUGACUAUGUGAUGUGCUUUAGUCAAUGGAAUAAAUGUAGGCACGAUGUAUACUGUUUUUGAGAAGAAACUUUAAAAGGUACUAAUGAAAUUUCUUUGCCUGUUUGUUUCUGCCUUCUGUAUGGGUCCUGGAAUAAAAAUAUAUGGAUGAGGAUUGCAGCUGACUUCAGCCUACAUGCAGUUUGAAUAUGAAACAGAUUCCAUACCCCUUCAGGAGGCACACGUUAUCUUCUGUGGCCUGACUCCUACCAUAUCAGUGUACUGUCACCCAGAAAACUGUUAUAGAAGAUGUCCGAGCAUAUGGAAAAGAACCUUGAACAUGGAACAAGGAGACACGGGUUCAGCCUCUGGGCAAAUAAUUGAACUGGCACAACAAAGAAAAAGAUGUCGGAAAUUGUUCAUCAAAAAACUGAGUGCUUAUCUAUGAAUCAACUGCCCUACUUGCCCACGUCUUCCUCCUGCGAUGAACUCAGGCACUGGUACGCAGUAUAGACAUGGUACAGAGGAUUGUCUCAGAGAGGUUGUGCUGUUCUUUUCCCUACUUCACCCUCCCGAGUUGUGCCAUCUUGGUCAUGUUGCUUAACUUACCUGUUUCAGUUUUUCCAACUGUAAAAUAUGGAUGAUAAACUUGCCUAUCUAUCUCAUGGAGCUGUCAUGGAAAUAU